UCCCUGGUGGCUCAGUGGUAAAGAAUCUACCUGCUAAGCAGGAGAUGUGGGUUCAAUCCCUGUGCUGGGAA
rnacentral:tRNA from 1 species